GACCGCAUAGCUCAGUUGGAAGAGCAUUGGGCUAGUAUCCCAAAGGUCGUAGGUUCGAAUCCCACCGUGGCCA